UGAUCAGUUAGGCUUGUGGCUAUAUUCCAGGAAUUAUCUGGUUCUGGGUAUAACCAAAGCCAGACUGAAUG
rfam:Mus musculus chromosome 7, GRC primary reference assembly.